rnacentral:rRNA from 1 species
UACGUAGGGUGCAAGCGUUGUCCGGAAUUAUUGGGCGUAAAGAGCUCGUAGGCGGUCUGUCGCGUCUGCUGUGAAAACUCGGGGCUUAACCCCGGGCCUGCAGUGGGUACGGGCAGACUAGAGUGCGGUAGGGGAGACUGGAAUUCCGUGGUGUAGCGGUGAAAUGCGCAGAUAUCAGGAGGAACACCAGCGGCGAAGGCGGCGCUCUGGGCCGGUACUGACGCUGAGGAGCGAAAGCGUGGGUAGCAAACAGG